UGUUAGGAGACACAUUUUCUCUGAAGGUUUUAAUUUAAGCUUUUUGUCUUUUAAUUUUUAUCUUUUAAUCAACUUGCUUCAUUUUGCCAGUGGAUGAUCAUAGUGUACAUCUGAUCUCCUUGGAAAUCUCUCUGAAUGAACUACUUGUGCUUAAUAGCUUUUGACUGCAGAUUAAAUAAACGAUGGGUUGUCUCUGACUUUUACACAGUACUGGAUUUGAAACAAAUAUGGUCAUUUUUGGUCAUAUUGGUCAAUUAAACUGUCUCUGUUUUAGAUGAGAAGGGUAUCGUGUUUGAAGCGGAGGUCACUCGCGCUGAAGCUUUGCAGACGUUGGAACUUUACAAGCACUCGCUCGCUGGAACCAACAUCAGCUCUCUACAGGAAAUGUGUGUUGCCAUGGAGAGGAGCGGGCACUCUAGUUUAGUGUUCCAGGGCCGGAGGUCACGGACUAAAAGUGAUCUGAGCAUGAAGAUGUACGAAGAAGAGAUUCAGGAAUGGUAUGAAGAAUAUUCCAGAACAAAUCUACCUCAACUUGACAGUCCGCUCCACAGAGACCUGGACAGCCCUGACCCCUCGCAGAGCAUCAACUAACAUGCUCGGACGCCGACUUAACUCAUCUGACAUCAGAUGGUCCUCCUUCACACGCACUUCUAAUAGUUCUUCAUGAGCCGUUAUUUAUAGAGAAACCUUACCGUCACGUUCAGACACACAGAUGAAGGACUUUGUGGCCGUCUUCCUCCGACUUGUAAGGGAAUGCAGUGUGUUGCCGGUUGCUAUAGCAACAACUCCAUACUGUAUUCUCCAACUGUUUCCUGGUCACACCUAACAUUGAGAGCAUUAGCCAAUAGGAAGCCUUAUUUCCCUCCCUCACAACCUUACGGUUCCGCAACCAAUCAGGGAAGCUUGAAGACCAAUCAUGUGAUUGCACUAGGGUCCAGGAACCACUGUCCUUUUCACCCCACCUUUUGAAGCACAUCCCAUGACCCAUGAAGGAUUGACCUGAGAGAUUACUGGACAAAGCGAGGGCUGACCCCUGAUGCACUCGGAUCAAACACGACCACCGAGCUUGAAUGAUUAUUUUUUGUGUUAAAUGACUGAAUUUGACGCCCCUUUUACUGCUGCUUUUGUUGCAAGAUUGGGACCUGAUAAUAAUUAUUAUUAUUUUUUAAUAUACUGUAUAUAAACACAGAUCUAAUGAUGGUGGCGAGAUACAGAGACUGUUCUCAUUGUGUUCAGGCGUCUUUCAGAUCAGCUCUCUGACGAUGCCGAAGUUCUCAUUGUAAGAAUCCAGCAACGUGGCACAUUUAAGGUCCAUUUUAUUUUAUUUUAUUCAUUUAUUUUUAUUUGUUUGGUCACAGUUUAUUUUGAGAGUCCUCUAUAGUUCAUCCACUAACACUUUAAUUGUUAACUUACUAUCUGGUCAGUUUUGGGAUUAAAUUCCAAAAAUAUUUUCACUCAGUAGUCCAGAAAGUCCAUAUAUGGAAACUAAGCCCGCUUUGAUUUCAUUGUUUUUGUGAUGUCACAAAAACCAACACAUUUAC